UAGAUUAUUAUUAGUUAUGUUCUUUAAAAUUAAAGAUUUUGGCGGUAUUUUAGUCUUUUCAGAGGAACCUGUUCUAUAAUUGAUAUUCCACGAUUUAUUAUACUUGUUUUAUUAGUUUGUAUAUCGUCGUAGUUUGAAUAUUUUAAAAGAAUUUAAAUAUUCAAAAUUUUUUAUAAUAAAGAAAAUCAGAUCAAGGUGCAGCUUAUAAACAAGAAGAAAUGGGUUACAAUAAAUUUAUUUAAAUGGAUUAAUAUUUUAAAAGUAUUAUGAAAGUGGAUUUGAAAGUAUUCUAAUUAAAUUUAAUUAGAAGAUUUUAGCUCUAAAAUAUGCACACAUCGCCCGUC
rnacentral:rRNA from 1 species